GGGUGCGUUCAUACCAGCGUUUGUGCACCGGAUCCCAUUAGAACUACGCAGUUAAGCGCGCUUGGGCUGGAGUAGUACUGGGAUGGGUGAACUCCCGGGAAGUCCCGGUGUCGCACCCUC
rnacentral:rRNA from 1 species